rnacentral:rRNA from 1 species
UUGAACGCUGGCGGCAUGCUUUACACAUGCAAGUCGAACGGCAGCGGGGGCUUCGGCCUGCCGGCGAGUGGCGAACGGGUGAGUAAUGCAUCGGAACGUACCCAGUCGUGGGGGAUAACUACGCGAAAGCGUAGCUAAUACCGCAUACGCCCUGAGGGGGAAAGCGGGGGACCUUCGGGCCUCGCGCGAUUGGAGCGGCUGAUGUCGGAUUAGCUAGUUGGUGAGGUAAAGGCUCACCAAGGCGACGAUCCGUAGCUGGUCUGAGAGGACGACCAGCCACACUGGAACUGAGACACGGUCCAGACUCCUACGGGAGGCAGCAGUGGGGAAUUUUGGACAAUGGGGGCAACCCUGAUCCAGCCAUUCCGCGUGAGUGAAGAAGGCCUUCGGGUUGUAAAACUCUUUCGGCAGGAACGAAACGGUGAGCUCUAACAUAGCUUGCUAAUGACGGUACCUGAAGAAGAAGCACCGGCUAACUACGU